AUCAUCAGUGAGCUUCUCGCUGCAGUAGUCCCCACCUGGCAUCUCGCCCCCUGCACAGCCCUGAAUCGUAGAAACAGCGGCAUCACUCAGAGAUCAGCUCCGUGAACCGCCCAGCUCCUGUAGCAGCAUACUGGAGAUUGCCAUCAUAUUCCUGAAGAGAGAAUCAAUUCUUCUUUCAACCAUCUUAAAGCCAAGAACGGUGAUAGAAUUUUCAUUACCUUUUCUUCUUCAAUGAGAUCACCCUUCAAUUUAGGAUUCAUGCCUGCCUUCUGGACUUCUGAGGACUAUAAGAAUGUUGAUAAAACAAACGCAACCAUUCAAGCUGAGGCUGCCCAUCUGGAAGCACCUCUCUCCUCCACUGUGGCCCUGAUAAUAGUGCUCAUAAUUAUUUUCUCAUUGGUAAUGACCUCCUUUGUGACAUACUGUUUCCAUAAGUGGAAGCUGAGGGGCCGCAAGCUGCAGCGAGCCCAGGAAGAGUAUCAGAGAGAUCAAGAGAAAAGUAUCUUUCAUAGCCCUCCGGAUCUGAUUUCCUAGAAAGGUAGUAAACUGACAAUUGAAGGGUGCCAUCUGAAAUGAAGCAACAAGUCAAGAAAGAACCAUAAAUGAAGUGACAUGAAAUCAAAAGAAGUUAUACAUGCAACAACGAAAAGUGAAACAUGAAGGAAAACCAUGGGCAGCAAAAUAAUCAGAAAUGAAGGGAGAAAAAAUUAAUUUUUUAAUGAACUCUGAGAGAAAGGGUUCAUGAUGUAGUUGAUCUGUUAAUCAAGCUGAUCAUUGUUUGAAAGCUACCAACAAUUUCAUUAUUAAUUACAAGUAAUUUGGUGGUAGGUUUUGUUUCAUUUUGUUUUUCAGUGUAAGGGGAAGCAAAGUAAUAUAUUUUACAUUUACAUUUUACUUACCACCAACUUUUGAUUUGAUAAUGAUUGAUAAGUAUCGAAGUUGGCCAGGUGAAUACACAGUAGAGAAUUUUGUCUAGUGUAAGCCGUAUAAUGUGGUAGUUUAUUUCCUGGCUAGUAGUAUUUGUAGUAAAGUUAAGAAAAAGAAAAUUAAAAAGCUUCCAAUCAUAGCACAUGUAACUGAUAUUGUAAGUACUGACUGCAACAAAAUAACUUAGAUGUGUUGAAACGUAAACAGUGUGUUUCAUAAAAAGGAGAUAAAAAGAAAAUCAAAUUCCAAAUAACCAAAAAUCAUUUUCCUGAAGUUUUGCUUUAGUUAUGGAUUGCUUGCAAUUAACAUUAAUUAAUGUUAUAUAUGUGUAAAGCAAACUUCUUUCCUGGUAAUAGUGCUACAUUUGUAUACUUGUUUUGGUGAGAUGCAGUAGUAAUUAUCAUAUGAAUGAGACAGUUAAAAAAGUCUAUGCUAUUUAAGUAGUGUGAUAAUUAAAGUGUGAAGUUUUCUCGGAUGUUGUAAAUGAAAUCCAUUAAAUGAGAUAAAUGUAUUUUAGAAUGCAUUGUGGAACAUAUCAGUCAAUGAAUGUAAAAGCAAGUACUGUCCUUUGUAGCUCAAUAAAUAUAUACAUUAAAAAUAAAAUGCUGGGCUUGGGAAUCUAAUAAGAACUAA